rnacentral:rRNA from 1 species
AGUGAACGCUGGCGGUAGGCCUAACACAUGCAAGUCGAACGGCAGCACAGUAAGAGCUUGCUCUUACGGGUGGCGAGUGGCGGACGGGUGAGGAAUACAUCGGAAUCUACUUUUUCGUGGGGGAUAACGUAGGGAAACUUAUGCUAAUACCGCAUACGACCUACGGGUGAAAGCAGGGGAUCUUCGGACCUUGCGCGAUUGAAUGAGCCGAUGUCGGAUUAGCUAGUUGGCGGGGUAAAGGCCCACCAAGGCGACGAUCCGUAGCUGGUCUGAGAGGAUGAUCGGCCACACUGGAACUGAGACACGGUCCAGACUCCUACGGGAGGCAGCAGUGGGGAAUAUUGGACAAAGGGCGCAAGCCUGAUCCAGCCAUACCGCGUGAGUGAAGAAGGCCUUCGGGUUGUAAAGCCCUUUUGUUAGGAAAGAAAAGCAGCAGGUUAAUACCCCGCUGUUCUGACGGUACCCAAAGAAUAAGCACCGGCUAACUUCGUG